rnacentral:lncRNA from 1 species
CAAACAUCGAUUGCUCAUCCGUUUAAAACAGCAUCUAUACUGCAUUGGGAAAGGUGUACUUUCCACUCCCCUAAUAACCCAUUUCCAACAGCACCCCCCCAGCAGCCUUAUUAUAUCUGGUCUUGAGUCCAAUGACCGUUGGACCACGGGGCAAAGGAAGAGAGCGGAGAAGGUAUGGAUCGAGAGACUUGGCACCACUGUACCAAGGGGGCUGAAUGAUACGUAAAAAAUAUACAAUUAAUAUAACCUCCCCUGAGACGGCCUCCACAUUUUUUAAUCUUUAUUUUAUAUAAUUUUUUUUAUGUCAUAUGUUUUUUUUAAAUAUAUAUAUGUGCAUGCCAUAGCAUAUUUAUUUAUUAUUAAUUGUAUUUAAUGUUUAUUUAUUAGCACUUAAUAAUCUUGAUUUUUAUGGACCAACAUUUACUAUUUAAUUUCUUGUUAUUUCAAAUUUGCAUGAUUUUAGCAUGUUUUUAUUAGCACUUAUUUUAUUAGCACUUAUUUUAUAUUACCUUUUACCGUGUUUAUUCUGUAUUUUAUUCCCUGUCUUUUUAUUAUUAAAUCUUUAUGCUGGUCUAAUAAAUCUCAAUUGAUUACAUUAUUUAUUCUCUUGUUUGCUUAUAUUUUCAAUUAUUUUGUUAUGGUAUUGUAUUUAUUAAUUUGCAUGUUCAUUUUGCAUGUUUAUUUAAUUGGCGUGUUUUGUGGCCUUCUUUGCCUUGGCCAGGCUUUUUUUCUUUUUUUUCCUGUUUUUUUUUCCCCCCUUUUUUAUCCUUUUUUUCUUUUUUAUUUUGGCCUUGGCCGGGUUUCGUACCCGGGUCUCUCAGUGUGGGGGGGGCAGCCCCCUUGCCAGUUUGCCAUGUACAAUUUUAUAUGUGGUCCUUUUUUUUGCUUCUCUGUCUCUCUUCUCUCUCCCUGGUCCUCGGUCAGUAUUUUGGGGUUGGCAUGCCCCGGGCUCGUACCCUGAGCCCCCGAGGGAAAGAGCUCGUCCGUUCCUCUUCACCACAGCACCUUUGGUAAAUCAGACACAACACACAGAGCAUACAUUCAUCAAACACCCAUCCACAGAUCAGUAGGCCAGCGCAUCUAAAUCAUAAACAUGAACCACAAACCCAAACCAUAACCCAAACCUAACCCUGCCCGAGCCACUGAUCUGGACUGACUCAUAUUGCACACACAAGUUACAAAUGGAAAAUUUUAAUCAUACAUUGCAUUUACAUCAUUCCAAAAUCAUCCCCAACCUGGGGUCGGCUGGGAUUCGAACCCCGCUCUCCCGCUUGGGGAUCCUGCGCCUUGCCUAGUGAGCUAAACAGCUUAAUAAACUGCAGUUCGAUCAAGCAUCUUAUAUCCUAGUGGUAGCAGCAAGAACUAGGCAUUCUGCCCCUUGGAUGGGCCAAUCAUAUCUGGAAUACAGUCUCUACCCAAAAUUCUAAUUUCAC